UACGAAGGGGGCUAGCGUUGCUCGGAAUCACUGGGCGUAAAGCGCACGUAGGCGGCUUCUUAAGUCAGGGGUGAAAUCCUGGAGCUCAACUCCAGAACUGCCUUUGAUACUGAGGAGCUUGAGUCCGGGAGAGGUGAGUGGAACUGCGAGUGUAGAGGUGAAAUUCGUAGAUAUUCGGAAGAACACCAGUGGCGAAGGCGGCUCACUGGCCCGGUACUGACGCUGAGGUGCGAAAGCGUGGGGAGCAAACCGG
rnacentral:rRNA from 1 species